rnacentral:rRNA from 1 species
AGUGAACGCUGGCGGUAGGCCUAACACAUGCAAGUCGAACGGCAGCACAGUAAGAGCUUGCUCUUACGGGUGGCGAGUGGCGGACGGGUGAGGAAUACAUCGGAAUCUACUUUUUCGUGGGGGAUAACGUAGGGAAACUUACGCUAAUACCGCAUACGACCUACGGGUGAAAGCAGGGGAUCUUCGGACCUUGCGCGAUUGAAUGAGCCGAUGUCGGAUUAGCUAGUUGGCGGGGUAAAGGCCCACCAAGGCGACGAUCCGUAGCUGGUCUGAGAGGAUGGACAGACAAAAGGGAAAUGAGACACGGGCCAGGCGACUACGGGAGGGAGCAGGGGGGAAUAUUGGAGAAUGGGGGAAAGCCUGAUCCAGCCAUACCGCGUGGGGGAAGAAGGGCUUCGGGUUGGAAAGCCCUUGUGGUGGGAAAGAAAAGCAGCAGGUUAAUACCCCGCUGUUCUGACGGUACCCAAAGAAUAAGCACCGGAUAACUUCGUGC